UGAAACAUCAGAGCGGCUGGACGUGAAACCAACUGAAGCUGAUCCACGCUUCGUUUUUAUCGAGUCCGUCCUGCAGGACACGAGGACGGACAGCGGUCAGACAUUCUCCUCUGUGACGAUAACUGUUGGUUUUUACAGUGCAGGACUUUUGGUUUCAUCUCUAAAUUGAAUCAAAAUGCUUAUUUUUUAGUGUAAACUGAUCUGCAGGCUCCUUCACCUUAAGCCCCGCCCCCAGAGGAGUUGCCAUGGCAACAGAUGGUUGUAUUGGGAUCGGUUCUGGUCGUGAUCAGAUCGUCUCUGAGCUUCUUCCUGCUUCAGACGUGAAAUUAAAAGUUUCUCUAAAACAGUUUAAGUUUCUUUAUUCCGUCGGUUUCGUCUCUUUUCUGACUCGUUUUUAUCUCGUUUAUUUUUUAUUUUCUCAGUUUUAAGUUUUGUUAAUGUUGGCAGCUCUGAGUCCAAAAGCCUGAAGCCAUGAAGGGAACCGGGUCGGUCCGGUUCACCAGAGGAUCAGUUUAAACCUGAGACCUGAGCAGAAACGGUCAGCAGACCUUCAUCUUCAUCAGUCCCACCAGGACAGACUGGGUCUCUGCGAUGCGUUCAGGGAUACCUGGACACCAGAGCUGCUCUGCGAUGCGUUCAGGGACACCUGGACACCAGAGCUGCUCUGCGAUGCGUUCAGGGACANCUGGACACCAGAGCUGCUCUGCGAUGCGUUCAGGGACACCUGGACACCAGAGCUGCUCUGUGAUGCAUUCACACUGUUGCUAAUGUGCUAGCAGUGGAGCUAAUGUUUAUUUAGCGCUUAGCUAGCUGAAAACAUUUAGCUUCACCUCAGUUAAUUUUCUGAAUAAAUUCUUAAGUUCUAAUUUUUCAGGCUGUUUUAUAAAUUUCAGUUGAAUUGAAGUUUUGUUUGUCUACUGAUCCAAGUUAGUUCGCUGUUUCUGUUCAUGCUCUUAUUUUGAAGUCUGUUUCCUGUGCUCGCUUCUCUUGUUUUGUUUUAAAGAAACUAUUGAUAAAGUUUCUAAUCCAGAUGAAUGCGACACUUCCAGGAGCGACCACCAGGCGGUGCUGGUAGCUGCUUCUCCUGACGCCGCCCAGGUGUUGGUGGAGCAGGUAAAGCAGGUGGUGGAGCAGGUGAAGCAGGAGAGAAAACAUGGAGGCGAGGCUGACCGACUCCUGGCUGGAGGUUCCCGUGUCCAGAACUGAGGAAGACGAGGACAUGUCGGGUCAUCACGCCUCCAUUUCCUGACCUACCAUCACAAACGUAACACCGGCUGGUUCUGUGACUCAGCUGAGUUUUGAUCAGAUGAUAUUUCAGCUGCAGAACCUGAGAAACAUGAUAAAUAUGCAGAAAACGGCUCAGUGAUGCUGCCAGGCUCGGUGGAGGACCUGUGGUGCUGAGGGAUGAUCAACAUGCUGUCCAAGCAUUUGAUCUAAAUCAUGAUGUUUAAUGAUGUCAGAGUAAAAUAAGAAUCAUAAAAUCUGUGUGGUUUGGUCUCCAACAUGCGGUCCGAGGGCCAUUUAUGGCCUCCAGUAGGAUUUACUGGGUCACAAUCAGGAACAGUUCAACUCUGACUGUCCAGAACCGGAACCAGAACCAGAACCAGAACCAGUCUGCCGGAUCGCCCUGCCAAUGAUUUACAGCCUGCAGCAGAGACAACGAGCCGGGCCUCACCAGAACCGGGUCCCAGGGAGCCCGGACCGAGCGUCCUGAUUGGCUGGCCGGCGCUGACGCUCACCUGGAGGACACGCCCACCGCCUCACCUCUGUGCAGCCUGUCCUCCGACAGACUGCAGGACAAAAGUCCAACCGGGCCGGUUCUGUGUGAAAGUUCCUCCAGGAGCAAAUAUCAGCUCAUAAAUGACCUCUGACCUGAUAGAGACGGUUACCAUGGAGACCACGGAGACAUUACUGGACAGCAGAAGAAGAGCUGCUGGACCUCCGGUUGGUGCUAAAUAAACCUGCAAUCCUAUUGGCUGACGGGAC